UACGAAGGGGGCUAGCGUUGUUCGGAUUUACUGGGCGUAAAGCGCACGUAGGCGGAUCGUUAAGUCGGGGGUGAAAUCCUGGAGCUCAACUCCAGAACUGCCUUCGAUACUGAAGAGCUUGAGUCCGGGAGAGGUGAGUGGAACUGCGAGUGUAGAGGUGAAAUCGUAGAUAUUCGCAAGAACACCAGUGGCGAAGGCGGCUCACUGGCCCGGUACUGACGC
rnacentral:rRNA from 1 species